AGGACGAACGCUGGCGGCGUGCCUAAUACAUGCAAGUCGAGCGGAGUUAUACUUCGGUGUAACUUAGCGGCGAACGGGUGAGUAACACGUGGGCAACCUGCCCCUUAGACUGGGAUAACUUUGGGAAACCGAAGCUAAUACCAGAUAAACUUAAGAAUCGCAUGAUACUUAAGUAAAAGGCUUCGGUCACUAAGGGAUGGGCCCGCGGCGCAUUAGCUAGUUGGUAGGGUAAAGGCUUACCAAGGCGACGAUGCGUAGCCGACCUGAGAGGGUGAACGGCCACACUGGGACUGAGACACGGCCCAGACUCCUACGGGAGGCAGCAGUAGGGAAUUUUCCGCAAUGGACGAAAGUCUGACGGAGCAACGCCGCGUGAGAGAAGACGGUCUUCGGAUUGUAAAUCUCUGUUUUCAGGGAAGAAAAAUGACGGUACCUGAAGAGAAGCCCGGCUAACUACGUGCCAGCAGCCGC
rnacentral:rRNA from 1 species